rnacentral:rRNA from 1 species
GCCUACGGGUGGCAGCAGUGGGGAAUAUUGGACAAUGGGGGCAACCCUGAUCCAGCAAUGCCGCGUGAGUGAUGAAGGCCUUAGGGUUGUAAAGCUCUUUUACCAGGGAUGAUAAUGACAGUACCGGGAGAAUAAGCUCCGGCUAACUCCGUGCCAGCAGCCGCGGUAAUACGGAGGGAGCUAGCGUUGUUCGGAAUUACUGGGCGUAAAGCGCACGUAGGCGGCUUUGUAAGUUAGAGGUGAAAGCCUGGAGCUUAACUCCAGAAUUGCCUUUAAGACUGCAUCGCUUGAAUCCGGGAGAGGUGAGUGGAAUUCCGAGUGUAGAGGUGAAAUUCGUAGAUAUUCGGAAGAACACCAGUGGCGAAGGCGGCUCACUGGACCGGUAUUGACGCUGAGGUGCGAAAGCGUGGGGAGCAAACAGGAUUAGAUACCCCGGUAGUCGG